UCCUGAGCCUGGUUGAGUCAGAACUCCUAGGAACAGUUCCCCAACUGUCACUCUGAACCUGGGAGGUAAAGAAGAAAAGGUGUGUGCCUGAGACAUCUUGAAACCCAUACAUCAAGCUACUGGACUUUUGAAUAUCUUCUGGCUGUGGUGAGAAGUUAUCUUCCAUCUUCUGCUGGACAGUGCCUGGAGAGCUGAACUUCCUACUUUGAUGAGACCAUCUGUGGACAUCACACCUGGGACUCCAAUAUCUGACUUACCAAGGACUCUCUAUUUUGCAAGGAAAAACUCACCAAUCCAAAUACUGAGUAGAAAAUUCAUCGUCUCAUCUGGAUAACUGAAGAGAUGAGCUGAUUGUUCUGCUAAUCACAAUUCAAUCAGCGAAGGUAACUCAAAACAGGAAUUUAACACUAUUAAAUCCACCUAUAAGUUGAAUGUAGAAUCAUACCACUGCUCAGAAUUUGAAGAAAAAAACAGAAUAGGCUAAUGGGACUAAGUUAUCUUCUUUCAAGUUCCAAUCACAUGUCAAGUGCAAGGUAUUCCCAUUCUUCCAACUGCUUCUCAUAGUGAUGGUAUGGACCUACAGACCUUCAGCAUCCUGGAUACCCUCUUCACCAGAUUAUUAAUGUCUUCCUUAAACUGUUGUAGUCAGAGCAGAGCAUAGAACUUCAGAUGAAGUGUGGAUAUGGCACAGGCCAGUGAUUCUUCAUGCAAGGCUCUGCAAACAGCAUUGGAAGAGAGAGUAUGUCAGUUUUCCACCAGCAACUUCCACCAAGGCACAAGCACACAAGUUUAAAGAGACCUUUUCAUCAUCCUUGAAAGAGACAAUAAGAGCCUUGUACAACAUGAUUAUUAGCUUAUGGUCCA